UACGGAGGGUGCAAGCGUUAUCCGGUAUGACUGGGUUUAAAGGGUGCGUAGGCGGCUAAAUAAGUCAGAGGUGAAAGCUUGCAGCUUAACUGCGAAAUUGCCUUUGAUACUGUAUAGCUUGAAAGGAGCUGAGGUCAGCAGAAUGUGGCAUGUAGCGGUGAAAUGCAUAGAUAUGCCAUAGAAUACCAAUUGCGAAGGCAGCAGGCUGGGCUUACUUUGACGCUGAGGCACGAAAGCGUGGGGAUCCAACAUG
rnacentral:rRNA from 1 species